GUUAAGGAGGGCACUUGUUGGGACGAGCACUGGGUGUUGUAGGUAGGGGAUGAAUCACUGGAAUCUACUCCUGAAUCAUGAUUGCACUAGAUGCUAACUAACUUGGAUGUAAAUUACAAAGUACAAAUAGUCAUUUCCUUUUUCCCAAUGUACAACCACAUCAUCACAUUAUAGUGCGAUUUGGGCUUAUAUUGUUUACGUCUCCGGGGUCCGAGAGGUCCUGGGGAUGGUCCUUGCCCGAGAGUCACUUGCCUACAGGAGCGAUUGCAGGACCUCCGAUGCUAGCCAUCGGCACUGACCCAGGACAGUGGCACAUCCCCCCCCACCUGGGAGCCUGGCCUACUGCGGAUCCCGAGCAUGGAGCAGUCACGACCCGGGCGACUACUGAUGUCUUUGUUUUCCAGCCCUCGGCUUCCUGACACUAUUUUUAAUAGCUCUGCCACAAUCAUGUAAUAGCGUCAUGUAUGAGGUCAUUGGGGUCCAGGACACCAGAGGGGUUGGGCAGAGACUUGAAAGAGCCGCGUGAGGCAGCACGUCCCCGGGGGGCCCACUGAGGGCCGCGUCGUGGAGCUGAGAUCGCAUGGCGGAGAAACGGAAACGCAUCGCCUGGUCGCUGCAGCAGAAGACAACGGUGUUGGGAUCGACGUGUCCUGACGGCGUUUGCAUUUGACCAGCGGGAUGGCGGAACGUGGGCUCGUGUCUGCAGAGGAGGGUCGGUUUGUCAAUGGGAAGGAAGGGUUGAUAUACUUAGGGGGUGACAGCCUCCUUUCCGCCCCUCCCCCUCUUUGUGACAGCGGGGACGGUCAUAGUGAUGUCACACUUGGUCUUCGUUUUCAGCCCAAGACACCACAGCUUCUCCACCGACACUCAAAACACCAGAGAGCAGGUGUCAGAGGGCCAGAGAAAUCUUUAAAAUGCUGAGAAGGAAACACGUUGAGAGAGAAGGAGAGCAGCUGGGUGCUGGGUCCAUCUGUCUGGUUCGUCUGGGAUCCGCGCGUGCGUUGGGCCCCAGCAGGAAGCUGAACCCCCUCAUUUGGGCCCCUGCAGAUGUUUUGGGGACUGUCGCUGACUACGCUGACUUCGUGACACAGGAUUUCCUUCCUGAGCGCCUGCGACGAAGGCGUUCUCUGGUCUCAACCAGGAAGAGCUUCGUCAGUCUCCCGAGAGCACGCCGUGUGUCCUGGGCUCGAACCCGCUUCCCUCUGCCCUAGAACCUUCCACUCUCAGUUCAGGCGUUUUCUGGAAUUGUUGAGACACUUGAUAUCCUCUUUGGAAACAGUGGCACGUGAAUAAACAGUUAAAAACUCCAGGGGCGAAGUCUUUGGCAGUGGCUGACCUUGGGCAAGUGUCCUGUGGCUUCGUGGCCCGGUUUUCGCCAGCAGCCGUGUCGUGCAGCGUGUAGGCCCUGGACUCUGGCCACUGGGGGUCACGUCUUCAGUCUAUCACUCACCUCCCAUUUGAGCUAAGACGCGUCACCUGAUCUCCCUGCUGGUCGUUUGCUGCUCGAUGACCCAUCCCAUUUCUUCGCCUGCUUCAUGUAACUACAGGAAACGCACUUGCCUUUGCCGCCCUGAAUUUUAGUGCCGAGAGAGUCCGUGUAUUUGUUACACAUAUUGCUGUGUAACCAAUUAUCCCCCAAUCCAGCAAAUUAAAGAGCGCACAUACAUCAUUUCGUAGUUGACUAUUCCCUGGAAGUCAGGAACCCGCAAGGGCCCCGCCGGGUCGUCCGGUUCGGGCUGCCGGCAACGGUGUCAUCCGAAGGCUCCACCGGGGAAGACAGGCUCCAGCCUUGUGUGGUUGAUGCCGUUCCGUGCUGCAAGGGCUGUCGGACACACCGUGCUGUUUGCUCCCUCGAAACCGGCAAGAGAGAUGCUCCUCAAGCAUCACAAAGGCCGCGAUCUCUCGAGCCCGGUGUGGCACAGUAGAGAUUCCAGUCCUUUCUCCUGCUUCUGGGAGACAACCUCUGAAUCUUUGAAACCCCUUCGAAACCCUGUAGAAGCGAAACUUCUUCGAGUUUCUGCCGAUGAGGUGACCCAGGGCACACAGUCUGGCAGACGAACCACGUGCCGGGGCAGGGAGGGGCAACUUUGGCUUGAACUUGAACUCCUGUGAGAACAGGCUGGAGAGGGAGUCCAGUCACACCAGACACUGAUGGAGGGAAGCUCCGGCAAGAUCUCUGGACGCUACAGUUCAGGCGAGCUCUCUGGGGAGCCCAGCAACAUGUCCUUCCUCCACGGGGACAGGACCUGGGGAGUCCGCACUGGGACCUGCUCCAGCUUUGCCCUGUCCCAACGUGUACCCUUACAACGAUAAUUAUAGGUACAGUACUUCUGA